CCCGGGAGUUUUUUUCUUUUACAUGCAAUUUUUGAACUAUAUCAUGUAUAUGUAUGCCUUAGCACUAUCUAGUUGAAUGUAACAUAUUCAGUAUUUGGAAGUCUGAUUUUCUAGAACCGUGCACCAGUAGUUUGAAGAUAGUUGCGUUGUGUAAACGUGAUUAAAUUUUUAGAAAGUACUCAAAAGUUGCCCUCCUAUUUUAUUUUUCAAAUUUUGUCGACGACAUUGCUAAUUUGAGCGUAUUAAGUUAUUUGUAGGUAUUUACCUUAUACAUGUUAAACAUAUUACACCUUGUAAGCCCAAUUAAUUGGGAAUAGUCUUAUAUCUUAACAAUCUGUUUAUUCAAUAUUACUUAAAUUGUGAUGAGUCGAACUUGCUUGAUUCAAGCUUCGAUCUCGA
rnacentral:lncRNA from 1 species